ACGUGAUGUCAGAACGUUCUCUCCAUUCCAGAAUGUGAUUGUUAUGCAACAGUACACUUAGUCCGCGCUGCCCUCAAACCAAGGCACGCAGCCUGUUUUUAUUUAUCGGCUGUUUCCAACUUGUCAAUUUCAAAAUUACUUUCUAACAAGUUUUUAUUUUCUAAGAACAGUUUGAAUUGAGGUGUGUUCCGCCUCCUCAUUCAUUCACAUAAAAGUAGUUAUUUUUACUUUUGAGGACAAUAAAAAAAAAAAAUAUCAUUUCUGACCUGGACAAAAUUCCCCAAGCACUUUGCAAUUGUUUGUGCAGUUCAAGUCUGCAGACAUUUGCGCAUCUCCAGUCAGAACAGGAUCUGCAUACACAUGUUCACAUUUUCUGUCUGUUGCCCGCAUCGCAUUCAUUGUUUUCGUUACCAAUAACAACUUUGGGAAUGGUUGCGUUUCUACCAAACUACCCUGGCUUUACGACUCCCAAGUGGCGCAACAGUUUAAGGAACAGCAUCUCACUGCUAGAGGCAUUGCUACAGACACCCUGGUUCAAAUCCAGGCUGCGAUUCUAUCAAAGUGGUCCACCUUCCCUGUGGCCGAUAUGGUUGCUGUCUGGACAGUGGAGAGGACAUGGACGUCUCGUUUGUCAUGCCACUUUACUGCCAGCUGUUGACUGUUCUCCUUGAACUCCACCUCCCCUCUCUGCAUCUUCCUGCAUCCGAAUGCUGGCAUCCCCUUCCUGUUCGACCUGACUGUGCCACAGGCUCCUGUCCUGUGCUGUUGAAAGAGCAGAAGCUACAAAGUGUGUCCCUUGCUGAGAUGAGGAGCCAGCAUGGUAAUCACCGUGGACCUGGACACCCCAAGCCCCUCAUAAUGUUGGAUGUCAGUGGUGGACCCUGGGUAAACUUGAACUUGACCCCAAACCUGUAACUUUCCUUAACAUCAGGUACUCAUUAAUGCAUAGGUCCUUGUAUGGCACAAAGACCCAACCAAAUGCUGAUGUCAGGCUGCUCCAAGGCAUAGCAAUUGGUCUCCUCUACUAUGUCUCCCACCAUCUCCUCUGUCAGAAACAACUUGAAGCACUCUGCCUCAGAGGGAAAUGGCAAGGGGCGUUGCUCUCCAGACUGGGACUCAUCAAAGCAAACAGCAGGGCCAGGAGGAGUGAAAUGGCUGGCGGCCUUCCAGCUACCACAAACCUCCUGUACUUCAUCCACUAUUGGUCUGCCUCCAUCACCACCAGCAUUUUCAAAGGGACCUGGGACUUCGUCAGUAGACAAGGAGUCCUCAGAUUCAGGGUUCUCAAUGGCUACAAGGUUGGGGGGCAGCUCCUCACUGUCAGAAUCUGAUUCCUGACUUCCAGACUCAUUGUCAGAAUUGAUAAAAAUCUCCAGAAUUUCAGCAUUUGUGAGUUAUCUCCUUUUGAAAGACAUUGCUCAUGCUACAGCUUAGCUACAUACAUAAACAACAACACUGAAUAGCUCAGAGUGGGAGUCAGAGAUUACGUGAUUGACUGCCGGCACGCGCCACUAGUAUCAAUAAAUCACUAUCACAAAGUGUUUUUUACUUUGUGAUUUACUUUAAAAGUUACUGUUUUAUUCACGUUUUCAAUUACCGGUGACAAAUCAUGCAUUCCGAUUCUUUCAUAGAUUACAAUGGACACAUAUUAUGUGUGUAAAAUAGUUUUUUGAAGGUUGUACUGAUUAUGAUGAGUUUAGCUACUUCUAGCUAUGUGUGGGGCCAUGUUUGUUGACAUACAAUGCAUUCUGGGUUCCACGUAAUCGUCUGUUAGACCAAAGAUGUUAUAACACAAUGAGGUGAGUGAGGGUUCACAAAUUUUUUGAAAACUUCCGGAAAUUAAUGGUGGAAUGAUGUGUACAAUGAUAGACGACACACCCCCUUCAACAUGCAUACUAUAAACAGACCAAACUCAUCUUGUCUUCUCGUAUUAUCUUUGGUUUCUGUGAGAGAAAAAACAUGACAGAAAGCAGAAACUACCCAUCGUCGGAUUACUGAUGAUGUGAUUAAUAAUAAAUAGCAAUUUAUAUUAGCUAAUUCAUUUUGUAGUUUAUGUCAGCUGAGAGUUGUCUAAAUAUGACCGUUAGUGUUACAUAAAUCUUUCCUCAGUUAGCUCUAGGACAAAAUGUAGCCUACAUUUUUCCGGUUUGGAUGAUUGUGUUAUGCUA